rnacentral:rRNA from 1 species
GAUAAACGAUGACAGAAUGCUUAACACAUGCAAGUCUAUAACAUGGCGGACGGGUGAGUAACGCGUAAAGAACUAGCCCGGUAGACUGGGAUAACAGAGGGAAACUUCUGAUAAUAAUGGAUACUAAAGGAGAGCUUUGCGUCCUAUUAGCUAGUUGUGAAGGAAAGAGCUUACCAAGGCGAUGAUAGGUUGCCGGCCUUAGAGGGUGGACGGCCACAAGGGGACUGAGAUACGGCGCUUACUCCUACGGGAGGCAGCAGUGGGGAAUAUUGGACAAUGGAGGGAACUCUGAUCCAGCAAUUCUGUGGUUGUGAAGUAGUUUUUAGGACUGUAAAACACUUUUAGUAGGGAAGCGGUUCCUACAGAAGACGCAACGGCUAAAUACGUGCCAGUAGCCGCGGUAAUUC